AGAGUUUGAUCCUGGCUCAGGAUGAACGCUAGCUACAGGCUUAACACAUGCAAGUCGAGGGGAAACGAUAUUGGAAGCUUGCUUCCGAUAGGCGUCGACCGGCGCACGGGUGAGUAACGCGUAUCUAACCUGCCCACCACUUGGGGAUAACCUUGCGAAAGUAAGACUAAUACCCAAUGACGUCUCUAGAGGACAUCUGAAAGAGAUUAAAGAUUUAUCGGUGAUGGAUGGGGAUGCGUCUGAUUAGCUUGUUGGCGGGGUAACGGCCCACUAAGGCGACGAUCAGUAGGGGUUCUGAGAGGAAGGUCCCCCACAUUGGAACUGAGACACGGUCCAAACUCCUACGGGAGGCAGCAGUGAGGAAUAUUGGUCAAUGGGCGAGAGCCUGAACCAGCCAAGUAGCGUGCAGGAUGACGGCCCUAUGGGUUGUAAACUGCUUUUAUAAGGGAAUAGAGUGAGCCUCGUGAGGCUUUUUGCAUGUACCUUAUGAAUAAGGACCGGCUAAUUCCGUGCCAGCAGCCGCGGUAAUACGGAAGGUCCGGGCGUUAUCCGGAUUUAUUGGGUUUAAAGGGAGCGUAGGCCGGAGAUUAGGCGUGUUGUGAAAUGUAGGCGCUCAACGUCUGCACUGCAGCGCGAACUGGUUUCCUUGAGUACGCACAAA
rnacentral:rRNA from 1 species